GACGAACGCUGGCGGCGUGCUUAACACAUGCAAGUCGAACGGAAAGGCCCUGCUUUUGUGGGGUGCUCGAGUGGCGAACGGGUGAGUAACACGUGAGUAACCUGCCCUUGACUUUGGGAUAACUUCAGGAAACUGGGGCUAAUACCGGAUAGGAGCUCCUGCUGCAUGGUGGGGGUUGGAAAGUUUCGGCGGUUGGGGAUGGACUCGCGGCUUAUCAGCUUGUUGGUGGGGUAGUGGCUUACCAAGGCUUUGACGGGUAGCCGGCCUGAGAAGGUGACCGGCCACAUUGGGACUGAGAUACGGCCCAGACUCCUACGGGAGGCAGCAGUGGGGAAUAUUGCACAAUGGGCGGAAGCCUGAUGCAGCAACGCUGCGUGCGGGAUGACGGCCUUCGGGUUGUAAACCGCUUUCGCCUGUGACGAAGCGUGAGUGACGGUAAUGGGUAAAGAAGCACCGGCUAACUACGUG
rnacentral:rRNA from 1 species